GAUGAACGCUGGCGGCGUGCCUAACACAUGCAAGUCGAGCGAACCUUUCGGGUGAGCGGCGGACGGGUGAGUAACGUGUGGGUAACCUGCCCUGUACACACGGAUAACAUACCGAAAGGUAUGCUAAUACGGGAUAACAUAUGAGAGUCGCAUGGCUUUCAUAUCAAAGCUCCGGCGGUACAGGAUGGACCCGCGUCUGAUUAGCUCGUUGGUAAGGUAACGGCUUACCAAGGCAACGAUCAGUAGCCGACCGGAGAGGGUGAUCGGCCACAUUGGAACUGGGACACGGUCCAAACUCCGACGGGAGGCAGCAGUGGGGAAUAUUGCACAAUGGGCGAAAGCCUGAUGCAGCAACGCCGCGUGAGCGAUGAAGGCCUUCGGGUCGUAAAGCUCUGUCCUCGAGGAAGAUAAUGACGGUACUUGAGGAGGAAGCCCCGGCUAACUACGUGCCAGCAGCCGCAGUAA
rnacentral:rRNA from 1 species